UUAGUGUUGUGAUAAGAAUAACCCGGCUGCUAUGCGCUAGACGAAGACACUGAGAAAGAAGUGCAGGGCACCGAGGUCGUUGAGUGAGAACUCAUGAUGCAGUGAGUCGAUGACGCGACUGUGAUGUUUGCAACCUUGGCCUUGUUAACCAGGUUGACCAGAGACAUUUCUUUUUCUCUUUGACUGUUUGACUGAAUUAUGUUAUUCCUGACACUGUUUCACCUCAACCUUGCUUCUCACCUAGCUGGCUUCUCCGCCCGUGAUGCUUCGGUCUUGUCGUUUGGUGGGAGAGGCAUCCUCCUCCUCCUCCUCCUUUUCCUCCUCCUCCUUCCUCUUCUUCUUCUUCUUCUUCUUCUAAAUAGCAACCUUCCUUUGAGUUUCGGACUGAAAAGGCCAGCCGUGAGGAGGAUCUCGAAGUCGCAACGCUUUGGGUUCGACAGCGGCGAGGGAGGAGAAGAUCAGGUCUAGGAUCGGGGGUGUCUGAGAGUCGUAUUUUCUGCUUUUAUCAGUAUCUCUGUAUUACCCCCUUUUGUGAGUGUAAGGCUUGUAUUCUGACUGUAUUUGUGUUUUGCAAACUGUUGGGUGGUAUUUGUAUUCUGUAGGGCUGGUAAAGCCCGUACUUGUUAUAUUUCAGUUCCCAGUAUCCUAUUCGUGCU